CACCGGCGCCCGCCCCCUGCCGACGGCCGCGGCUUCGCACGGCUCGUCGCUGGAGGAGCCCCGCGUGGAGCGGACCAAUCUGAGAUCCGCCUCUAGCACGUCCGACAUAGUGCGGGCGACUCGGCCCGGGCCGGGUCUCAGCUACGACGGCGACACCAUAGACCGGCUGCUGGCGCGGCCGCAGAAGAUACACAUCCCCGAGCGCUACGUCCCGGAGCUGGAGCUGGAGCCGAUGACGGCCGAAGAACGGCUUCAGAGAAGCCGGAAAGCGGCGUCCAUCAGGAAAAUGCUGACUCAAAGUACCGGGUUUCUGGAUAGCAUUUGCUCGGCUGAACCUCGUUCCAGACGUGUAAGCGCGGCCACCGAUAAACUGCAGAGGGCUCACAUCCUGCAGCUGAAUGAAGUCCUGGCUCGCCAGGUCACAGAACAAAGCAAACGCGUGGCAGCUGGCGCCCCGCCUGGCUGAAUACCUGUCGAGGCCUCCAACGCUGCCUGGUCAGUGGAAGCGAUUGCCAGCAUGGAAGCACCCCGCCCGAGCCGCAGCGGUAGCUCACCGCCCGCGCCGCCGCUGCCUCUGGUCCAGCAGCGGGACAGCUGCCUGACCUGAGGUCAACGACAGACAGCAGCGGAACGGCAGGUGUCAGGGAUUGAGAGGCGGGCGUGGCGAGAGGUGUGAACACCGCGAUCUGACGCCUGCCGUUGU